GGUCUUGUUGAUGCUUGAUUAUCUGCACCACAUUUAACAUAAUGACUUUCUUUUCUAUUGCAAAUACUUGAUUAGGGCUUUUGUUUGGACCACGCAACAUAUUAAUCUGCAACAAGAUGAAAACUUCACAGCUCUGUUCUAAACAGAGCCAGAGCCUCCCGGAACAAGUUUUUCUUUAAAAUCAAGUGUCAUUUUCUUAAUGUUUGACUUCGAGUAUCUUUUUGACAUUAAUAUUCAAUGAUAGGAAGAUCAAUGAUGCACAAGAGUAUAAAAGAUCUUAUAACUAUUGUACGUUUCUUGGGGAUUAUUAGAGAUUGCAGCAUUUUAAUAUCUGCCGGCCAAAUAAAUAUUAUUGAUUCCUAUCUUUCAUCAUCGUAACUUAUUUUCUGAGAACUAAGUCGUAGCCCAUAAAACUACCAGGAACGACAAAUUGUAGAAUGACUACUAUCAAGUUUUAGGGAUUGCAAUUGCAAACAGGCUGGAUACCUGAGUCCUGUCUGUACUAAAUAAUAUUGCUGAACCUGCAUUAUUAGUUGCUACAGGCACUCUUUGUCACUCUCCGUGUUGUAAUGCGGAGGAGCUGACUAAGAUAUAGCAGCUGUUGCUGCUUUCCUUGAUAGAGUUGACUUAAGCCUCCCCAGAAGUGUAAAUGAUAGCCAUUUCGUGUCCAGGAGGAGCUGUCAAGAGAAUUCUAUCCAGGUCAAUGCUGGUGUUCAAUGAUAUCAUCUUGAUGCUAUUGCGCCAAGUAAAGGCAGCACCAGUGUAGUGUAGGGCAUAGAAAUUGGGCCUGCACCAUUCAAGAAGCUAACAAAAUAGACGUAUUUAGUGACACGUUGUACACCACCAGAAUGGAAUAGUUUUGUUUAGUGUGCAUAAACAAUAUGUUGAGAAUUAUUACCCGUAAAUGAUGGUAUGAUCCUAAUCCAAUCUUUCAUAAGCAAUGGCAUCAUCCUAUUGUUUAUUGCACAAAGAGUUGAAGACCUGAAAACUGCAAGACUUCUA
rnacentral:lncRNA from 1 species